rnacentral:rRNA from 1 species
GAUGAACGCUGGCGGUAUGCUUAACACAUGCAAGUCGAACGGACUCUUCGGAGUUAGUGGCGGACGGGUGAGUAACGCGUGAGAAUCUGGCUUUGGGUUCGGGACAACCACUGGAAACGGUGGCUAAUACCGGAUGUGCCGAGAGGUAAAAGAGAAAUUGCCUGAAGAUGAGCUCGCGUCUGAUUAGCUAGUUGGUGAGGUAAAGGCUCACCAAGGCAGCGAUCAGUAGCUGGUCUGAGAGGAUGACCAGCCACACUGGGACUGAGACACGGCCCAGACUCCUACGGGAGGCAGCAGUGGGGAAUUUUCCGCAAUGGGCGAAAGCCUGACGGAGCAAUACCGCGUGAGGGAAGAAGGGUCUUGGGUUGUAAACCUCCUUUCUUAGGGAAGAACAAAAUGACGGUACCUAAGGAAUCAGCAUCGGCUAACUCCGUG